CAGAGGGGGCAAGCGUUGUUCGGAAUUACUGGGCGUAAAGGGCGCGUAGGCGGCCUUCUAAGUCGAACGUGAAAUCCCCGGGCUCAACCCGGGAACUGCGUCCGAGACUGGAAGGCUCGAAUCCGGGAGAGGGAUGUGGAAUUCCAGGUGUAGCGGUGAAAUGCGUAGAUAUCUGGAGGAACAUCGGUGGCGAAGGCGGCAUCCUGGACCGGUAUUGACGCUGAGGCGCGAAAGCCAGGGGAGCAAACGGGAUUAGAUACCCCGGUAGUCCUGGCCCUAAACGAUGAAUGCUUGGUGUGGCGGGUAUCGAUCCCUGCCGUGCCGAAGCUAACGCAUUAAGCAUUCCGCCUGGGGAGCACGGUCGCAAGGCUG
rnacentral:rRNA from 1 species